rnacentral:rRNA from 1 species
UACAGGGGGGUGCAAGCGUUGUUCGGAAUUACUGGGCGUAAAGCGCGGGCAGGUGGCCUUUUAAGUCCUUUGUGAAAUCCCGGAGCUCAACUCCGGAUGUGCAUAGGAUACUGGAGGGCUAGGGACUGGUAGAGGCGAGCGGAAUUCCUGGUGUAGCGGUGGAAUGCGUAGAUAUCAGGAGGAACACCGGUGGCGAAGGCGGAUCUCUGGGCCAUUACUGACGCUGAGGAGCGAAAGCGUGGGGAGCGAACAGG